rnacentral:rRNA from 1 species
CCUACGGGUGGCUGCAGUGAGGAAUAUUGGUCAAUGGGCGAGAGCCUGAACCAGCCAAGUCGCGUGAAGGAUGACGGCCCUACGGGUUGUAAACUUCUUUUGUCAGGGAGCAAUUGAGUCCACGUGUGGUCUUAGCGAGAGUACCUGAAGAAAAAGCAUCGGCUAACUCCGUGCCAGCAGCCGCGGUAAUACGGAGGAUGCGCGCGUUAUCCGGAUUUAUUGGGUUUAAAGGGUGCGUAGGCGGGCUGUUAAGUCAGCGGUCAAAUGUCGGGGCUCAACCCCGGCCUGCCGUUGAAACUGGCGGCCUCGAGUGGGCGAGAAGUAUGCGGAAUGCGUGGUGUAGCGGUGAAAUGCAUAGAUAUCACGCAGAACUCCGAUUGCGAAGGCAGCAUACCGGCGCCCGACUGACGCUGAGGCACGAAAGCGUGGGUAUCGAACAGGAUUAGAUACCCCUGUAGUC